AGCAGCCGCGGUAAUUCCAGCUCCAAUAGCGUAUAUUAAAGUUGUUGCAGUUAAAAAGCUCGUAGUUGAAUUUUGGACUUUGCCGCAUGGGUCCGCAUAAUAGCGAGCACUCGUGGUGGCGGGGUCUUCCUUCUGGGUAUCUGGUGUGCUCUUAAGUGGGUGUGCCAGGGAACCAGGACUUUUACUUUGAAAAAAUUAGAGUGUUCAAAGCAGGCGUACGCUUGAAUACAUUAGCAUGGAAUAAUAAAAUAGGAUUUUGGUUCUAUUUUGUUGGUUUCUAGGAUUGACGUAAUGAUUAAUAGGGAUAGUUGGGGGCAUUAGUAUUCAAUUGUCAGAGGUGAAAUUCUUGGAUUUAUUGAAGACUAACUACUGCGAAAGCAUUUGCCAAGGAUGUUUCAUUAAUCAAGAACGAAAGUUAGGGAUCGAAGACGAUCAGAUACCGUCGUAGUCUUAACCAUAAACUAUGCCGACUAGGGAUCGGAUGAUGUUAAUUUAUAAUGACUCAUUCGG
rnacentral:rRNA from 1 species